UACGUAGGGUGCAAGCGUUGUCCGGAAUUAUUGGGCGUAAAGGGCUCGUAGGCGGUCUGUCACGUCGAAAGUGAAAACUCAGGGCUUAACCCUGAGCCUGCUUCCGAUACGGGCAGACUAGAGGUAUGCAGGGGAGAAUGGAAUUCCUGGUGUAGCGGUGAAAUGCGCAGAUAUCAGGAGGAACACCAGUGGCGAAGGCAGCUCGCUGGGACGGUACUGACGCUAAGGCGCGAAAGCGUGGGGAGCGAACAGG
rnacentral:rRNA from 1 species